ensembl:lncRNA
CCAAUGUUUUCCCACUAAACCAUGUCCCCUAGUUUAGAUGGGACAUGUCCCCUAGUGCCACAUCUACACAUUUCUUGAACACCUCCAGGGACAGUGACUCAAGCACCUCCCUGAGCAGCCCAUUCCAGCACAUGACCACUCUUUUGUAGAAGAAAUCUUUCCUAAUAUCCUAUCCCCAGACAGAUUGAUGCUUCCUACCAGCUUGGUGUCAUCUGCAGACUUAAGUAAGCGCACUCAAUCCCCUCGUCCAGAUCAUCAAAAAAGAUACUAAACAGGACAGGCCCCAAUACCCACCUCUGGGGAACACCACCCGUGACUGGCCACCAGCUGGAUGUAACUCCAUCUGCCACUGCUCUCUGGACCUGGUCAUUCAGACAGUUAUUCACCCAGCAAAGAGUGUACCUGCCCAAGCUAUGGGCUGCCAGCUUCUCCAGGAGAAUACUGUGGAAGAUAGUGUCAAAGACUGUCCUGGGAACAGCAAGGUCACAGCAAGUGGGACCCUGGGGGCUGUGUGACUGAGAGAUGGGGACUGGGAGCCCCUUUCCCUACCUCAGGGUAAAUGUGUUAACUGAGGUUUUAUUGACAUUUUCAAUGUAUUUUCAAACAGAAAUGAGAAAAAGCAAAUUGCAAACAGGGCAAAAUAUUGAGGACAGUUAAAAAUGAAGUAACCAGUGAACGUGUUCUGGAAGGAAAAUAAGGCUGUGAGCAGGGAAUAGGAACAUUCCUGAGGAAAUCACAGUAAUUUAAUGAAAAAUAUUAAAAUAUGGUUAGAAACAAACUAGAGAAUUAAUAUGUUUAGGGAAGAAAAUAGUAGUGUUACUAGGGAAUAGCAGAAUUUCUGAGAAAAUUGCAAUAAUUUAGGGAAAAAUAUUGGAGGCGUGGUUAGAAAACUAGACCUGUGAAUAUAUUGUAGAAGAAAAAUAAUGGUGUGAGAAAGGAAUGGGAGAUUCCUGAGUAAAGUGCAGUAAUUUAAGGAAAUAGCAAGCAAUAUGAUUGGAAACUAAACCUGUGAGCAAGGUUUCAGAGUCGUAAACCCAAGCUUGGUGCUUCUGCUCCAAACUGGUGUCAUUUGCAAAGAGAGAGGAUUAGGGCUUUGUUAUAAAGGGAGGAAAAUCAACCAGAAUUUGUCUGGUGGAUGACAUUAGGAUCGCAUACCCUCUGCCAACCUCAGCUGUACAGAUUGCUAUUUAUAAGCUACACAGAUUGAUACAUCAAUUAUAUAUGAUAAAGCACAGUAAUUAUAAUUUACAGUAACACAGAUUUGUGUGUGUGUAUACACACACAUACAGGCACACCUACAUAAGAACAACAGCACUCCUACUCUGCUCUUUCAUCGCAAUGUGCACCGAGAAUUGGAAAAAUCCAAAGGUAAUAUUGUAAAAUUUCAGCAAAAAUUGUAGCUAAGAAGUAUUUUGAGGAAACAAAACUAAACAAAAACCAACCCUCUUUUGCCCAUAAGUUCAUUGGUUUGAUUGAUAUUUUGCUUUAGGAAGUGCUGGGGCUUAAACCUGAAUUUCUGCCAAUUUGUUUUUCUUGGGAUUGUUGCCUUCUGUGGUUGUUUCUUUUAUAAACAACCUACUGAAAUAGGUUCUGCUUGGGACUUGCUGGCCACUUGGAACUGUUCCACAUGUUAUGCAUGGGUGUGGGUUGGGAAAUACAUCGCUUUACAGAUACAAAUCUGGGAAUCCAUCCUCUUUGUGAGGAAUCAGAAUCAUCAAACCAUAGAAGCCCAGAAUCAUUGUGGAAUCAGAGAAUCAUCAGGGAAUCUUCACAGAGCCAGACAAUCUACAAGUAUUGAAUCAUCAUACAGACAUUAUAGAAUCUGCACUCAUAGAGUCUAGAACAUACAGUCGUAGAAGCAUCAGCUCAUCAUAAAAUCACCAGUCUGGAAUAAUAGAACCAUCAUAGAAUGUAGUAACAAAGUACCUUUAAUUAACCCUUAAAGUACCCUCAAAUUCAUUGAAUCCUCACAGAAUCUGACUGAGGCACAUGAGGGAUUAAGGGCCUCAGCCUCACUGUGUUUCUGCCCCUCCAUCCCAUGAAGGUUGGGGAUUCUCCUGCAUCCUCCCUUAGCUUCUGCACCUAGAGCAGUAUUUUUAAGUGCCUUGAACAGCAGCAGCCAGACAGCACUCCAGCUGCACUUUGCCCUUCUAAUUUUCUCUCUGACACCCUUGCAGUCCUCCUAGUUUUGUCCUGGGCAGAAACCAAUCGGCAUUAAUAGGAGUUGGUGGGAACAAACUAUUUUGUUCUCUCACUCCCACAGAGGGAAAUUUUGCAUGGAGAAAGCUCAUAACCGAUGGUGCUGAACAGCAUCACCCAGCGCUCCUCAUGGAAUGGGUUAUCUAGAUAACCAAAGCACUGCCAGGUACAAGUGCUGAGAGGUUUUCUUCUGCAGAAGAUGGAUUUUAAUAUUUUUAAUACUAAUUUUAAUACAGGAAGAGAACUGAGAUUUAAGACCUUUCCAAAAGAAAUCCAACACUGCUGUAUCCUUCACAAAACCUCCUUUUGCAUGACUCGGGAAAAGAAUGUGUUCAUAUAAAAUACACAAGCAAAAAGAACAUCCCAGGGAGCCUGACCUCAUAGAGUUGCACAUGUGAACCUCAGCACAGGUCUCAGAGCAAUUCUAGAGCUGAACUCAUUGUCUUCAAGCUCAGGUUAGGUAGUUCUUCCCAAAAGCCAUCGCAAACCCAGGAAUAUGGACACAACUAUGGUAAUGGAUGGCCCAUCUCUGGAAGUCUUCAGGGCCAGGUUGGACAAGGCCCUGGGUAGCCUUAUCUGAUGGGAGGCACCCCUGUCCAGGGCAGGAAACUGGGACUUGGUGAUCUGUAAGGCCUUUUCCAACCUGAGCCGUUCUAUGAUUCCAUUACGCUAUGAUUCCAUGACUUGAUGAUUCUAUGAUGAUUUUCUGAUCUGUUGAUUCAGUGCUUCUAUUAUUGAAUGAUUCAAUGAUGAUUCUGAUUCUAAAUUCUCUGAUUCUUUGAUUCUAUGCUCCUGUUAUUCAAUUAUUAUGAUUCAAUGAUGAUUCUAGAGCAUAUGAUUAACUGAUUGCAUGAUUCUCUGUUUCUAAAUUCUCUGAUUCUUUGAGUCUAUGCUUCUGUGUUUUGAUGGUUUGAUGAUGCUGUGGUUGUUCUCUCAUGUUCUGAUUCCACGCCAGAGCACAUAGAUGUACAUGGAAGCAGCCACUCACAUGUAACCCCACUUCUCCUCCAUUACAUCACCCAGAUUUGGGAACAUCCAUUUCAGCCAGUUUUCUGUGGCCAGUGGGAUUCUUCCCAUAAGCAUUACCAACAUCCGGGUGUUGGCUCACCAGUGGUGAGACACACAGUGUGCAAUCUGAAAGUGAAACCAAAACUGAGGCAUUGCCUGUAACAUUCAGGUAACAUCUUAGGCUGCCCUAAGUGGGGCUCAGACCAGAGCUGAUGCAAAGCCCAUGGUCCCUCAGUGGCCAGCAACUCCUUCACCUUCAUCUGCUUCCUCCAACUUGUGAGUAUAAUUUCUGCACUGCACACUGAUUAACAGUGGAUCUGCCAAGGGUCCCAGUGACUGAAAAAUGGGGUGAAGUAAGGAUUCUAGAUAAUAAAAAAGCUACAUUAAUUUCUAGAUGUUCUGUGGAGCAGUUAGUGAUGCUAACUGCUAGAAACUGUAGGCAAUGAUAAACUAUGCUGCUUGCUAAAAUGUUUAUGUAAUUCUGAAACUUGGUUUGUAACCAGAAUUCUGGGGUCUGUCUUCAUCCUGCCAAACAUCCUCAAGUGGGAUAAGCAGUGGCAAAUGUCAGUCCAAAAGCCCUGUAGGUCCUUGACGGUGUGCACAGCUGUGUGUGAGUGGCUGUGACAGAAAUAUCUGGGAUAGCCAAGAGGAAUGAAAGAGGGAAGUAAUUGAUUCCACACCGAUGAUUCAACAACUGCUGCUGUUUAUUCUUGACUCUGUUCCUAAGACUUCAUGUAACAAUAAAGCUCUAAAAUAACACUGUAGUCAGUCCUCAUUCUGAAGGAACCAUGAGAAGAACAUUCUUGGCCCCAUGGAGUCAGAAAAACUGUCAAGAAUUACGUUCUGAAAGUCUCACAGCUGCAUGCACCCAUCUGCAGGAGUGCUUCAGGGAACUAUGGCAUCAGGAGGCAGUAUGGACAACAUGGUGGCCAAUCUCCUAUGGUACACCCUCGAGCAUCUAGGGAUGUGUGCCUUCUCAAAAUCCAAGAGGGACCUCAGGAGGAUCCAGCCCAAAGAUGGGUACAAACACUGAG